ensembl:lncRNA
UAACAUGGUGGAAGCUGCAUACCUUCACAUUGGAGUGCCUGAAACGUUCUGAAAAAACACUGUGCAGGAGUCCUGGCUCAGUCCUGAAGAAGAGACGGGAACUGCAGUUGAGUUCAUCGUGCUUCGCAGACAGGUCAGUUCAUACAGCUUUACUUAGACUGUUCUGAUCAUCACUGUCUCACAAAAACCUUGUAUCUGAUUAAAGU